CGUUCCGAGGAGCGUUGCGACGAAAUUCCCAUUUCGCCAGGCUCGGAAAUCCACCGCAACUGCGCUCACGUUAC
rnacentral:ncRNA from 2 species